rnacentral:sRNA from 1 species
ACUUUAGAAACCACAAUGAAAUCAGGGGAGAGCGCGAACGCAGUCCCCCACUACCACAAAUUAUGCAGUCGAGUUUCCCGCAUUUGGGGAAAUCGCAGGGGUCAGCACAUCCGGAGUGCAAUGGAUAAGCCUCGCCCUGGGAAAACCACCUUCGUGAUCAUGGUAUCUCCCCUGCCAGGUAAGUAUGAGUUGCUCGCCCAGCCAGCACGCCCUCCACCCACACGCACUCCUAUUAAACGCACGGUUCCCGCCUCCGCGCCACGGCCUCGGUCUCACGCCCCCCCACUCCUCUGCCGAGAUGCUUCCGCCUCACGGAAAUCACACGCCUGUCACGCGGUACACUCCACCCGAGACACGGCCCUUAAGGCUCUGCCGGACCGGCAGCCACUGCGCACGGCUUCAUCUGCGUACGCCCCGCCCACAGGCGGGUUUUUUUUUUUUCCUUUUUCUUUUUUUUUUCUUUCCCCCCCCUUUUUUCUUCCCCUGGCCUGCAGGAGACCGCGACGGUCACACAGUGGCCUGGAGCACACUAUGACCACCAGCCCAGGGAUGGCUCGCUGAUUGAUCACUAAUU